UACAGAGGUCUCAAGCGUUGUUCGGAUUCAUUGGGCGUAAAGGGCGCGUAGGCGGCCCGCACAAGUCUGCGGUGAAAACCCCCGGCUUAACCGGGGGCCGGCCGUGGAAACUGUCGGGCUAGAGGCCGGGAGAGGGCAGCGGAAUUCCCGGUGUAGCGGUGAAAUGCGUAGAGAUCGGGAGGAACACCGGCGGCGAAGGCGGCUGCCUGGACCGGCCCUGACGCUGAGGCGCGAAAGCUAGGGGAGCAAACGGG
rnacentral:rRNA from 1 species